UUUAAACGUUACUUUCUUUACUUUAUAAUCUUCACUAUUAUAUAUCUGCAAUUGAAUAAAAACCUCUCAGAAAAAAAAAAAAAUGGAAAAUGAGUUUUAUUAAGUUUUUUUUUUCUUUUCCAGAUGCAAGGUGCUUUUUUUAGUGAUUUUUAUGGUACUAAACAGAACCUUUAUCCCAGACUCAUGAUUUGGGGCUUGCACCAAACAAUCCUGGACCUCCCCCUCGUAAUACAUAUCAGCAAGAUUUCUCACCAAUUCAAAGAGGAGUACAUCAAACAUCUAAUCCUGAUUUCUUUGGCUCAAAAGGGAGCCAACAGUCCGUGCCAGAUUAUGGAUAUGCAAUGAAUAGCCCAAAUGUAUCGUCGCAGCAAAAUUUUAUCAUUCAUCUACCACAAAUCCCUCAGCCUUGGCAAGAGGAAAUGCAGUGCAAUAUCAGGACCAGUGUCAAGACCAGUUUCCAGAUCAAAAUCAAGACCUUCAAGAUUGGAAUGAAUGGAACGAUGAGCCAUUUGUCCCUGUAACUUUUGAUCAGCCACCACCAACAUUCACUCCAACGGUCGCUCCACCUCAUCCAACAGUGUCCGAGCCAUCCUCUCUUCCAUUUCAGUCAGAAUCGAUGACUCCUACAAGAGGGGCCAAUACAGAUGUAAUUAGUGGAUUUCAAAGGUUUACAAACCAAGGUGGAGGAAUUCAGCCUUUCAAUAGUAAUAUUAAUCAGGACUGGAAAUGGCAAUCGCCUUCUUCUGUGCCAUCACCAGUGAGUCACCCAAAUUUUUGUCUGUUUAUGAAUUGUUUCUUUUUUGCAUCCUAACAUUGUGAGCUUACCUUAAUGGACUGCCCACUCAGACUCUACUCCUUGAAUACUUGAAAAUCGACUUUCCUGUUUUUGUAGGAUAAUUCAUAUCUCUUAAUUUUCCUUUCGUAACAUUCAUUCAGCCUCAAUUUUUUACUUGCUAAAAUUCUGCUAGAUUCUUUUCAAGUCUUUUACUGUUAUUUUCAAAGAUGAUUACUGAUUGUUUCUUAGUUAGCACCUUCAUUUCAACUUCUCGAAUUUUCUAGUAUAUCUUCAUUAACUGUCUCUGAUCAUCUGAUCAUCUUGUCACUGAGAACUGAAAGUAUGUGUUUUUUUCUGAAAUUUCUCUGAAAAAUGGAUUUUUCCCAACAAUGCAAAAUUGUAUAUCUUAUUUUAUAAUAAACCAUGUAAAGUGGCGGUUUCAGUAGCAGUUUCAGUGAGCUUAAGAUAUCAUUUAAGGGAUGAAAUUCAGGAAUCUUGGCCUGUUAAAAAGACUUGGACUCACUAAAGCCAAUCAAAAUUCAAACCUCAAACAAUAGACAUAGCUGAUCACUUGUCUCCGCCAAUCAUCAGUCCCUUUUCUUGGCAUGGAGUUGUAAUUGCCUCAUACCAAGUACUCCAGUGAUGUUCUUUCACAAAUAAAUAGCAGAGAAAAUUUUUUUUUUUAUCUCAGAACAUAUUAUUUCAUGACUUUACUGUUGCUUUUAUUCCUUUCACACACUUUCAUUUUCGGAGGCUUUCAUUUCUCUUUAUUUCCUCAUCAAUAUCUGUUGAAUGUAUAGAUCACGUCAACCCGUUUGUUUCGUAAAUUCGAGAGUUAUAGUUGUUUACAAACCAUACUUGGUUUUAGACUCUUGGCACUCAAUAUUUUAAUGUAUGCAUAAGCAUAUCUUUUCUGAUAGUCGAGAAAUUUAUGUACUAAGGUGCCAUAGUGUGCUCACAUGAUUACCUCUUCCCAAUUGAACCUCCUCUGUUGCCAGCCAGCUUGAAUACUCUUCUAAGUACUUUCAGUAGCUUGUUGUCAUUUUAUUUUGACAUUCUUGACCUCAGCUAUGUAGUCUAAUCCAUAAUGGCUUGUCGUUGCUUUUGUUGUUUUCAAAGUAAUUAUGCAGGGUAUCCUUUAAUACUUUCGUCUGAAUUAAUCAUCACGUUGUUCAUGUUUUAUUUUCAUGUUUAUUUUUUUCGUUGUGAUUCUAUCUUCUUGUCCUGAUUUUACUUCUUUCCUCAAUGUUUCUCACUAUGUUGAAAGAUUAUUCUGAAAGAAAAAUAGAUCACUGAAGUAUUUAAUUACUAAAACUAAAACAAGGUUCGUCUUUAAUUAAUUCCGUAUAUUUUCUGAGUGACUUUUCAAUCAUGUUUCUUAAUUUUGAAUUAUUCGUCGUUUUGAUUAUCUGUGAUACCCUCUGUCUUCAUCAGUGCAUAUAAUUAUGACGGAAUUGUAGUAAGUAAAACCAAACUGUCAAAAGCGAUGCACGACUUCGGCCGUUAAUAUUCUUUUGUAAGUUUUUUUACUAUCUUUG
rnacentral:lncRNA from 1 species